rnacentral:rRNA from 1 species
AUUGAACGCUGGCGGCAGGCCUAACACAUGCAAGUCGAGCGGUAACAGGGGAAGCUUGCUUCUCGCUGACGAGCGGCGGACGGGUGAGUAAUGUAUGGGGAUCUGCCCGAUAGAGGGGGAUAACCACUGGAAACGGUGGCUAAUACCGCAUAAUCUCUUAGGAGCAAAGCAGGGGAACUUCGGUCCUUGCGCUAUCGGAUGAACCCAUAUGGGAUUAGCUAGUAGGUGGGGUAAUGGCUCACCUAGGCGACGAUCCCUAGCUGGUCUGAGAGGAUG